AAGUGAAAAGGGCAAAUCAUAGGAAACUAUGAGACGCAAAGCCAAGGGCCUACCCACACGGGAAAAAGUGUGAACGGCAGCCGGUAGCCACA
rnacentral:ncRNA from 1 species